rnacentral:rRNA from 1 species
GACGUAGGGUGCUAGCGUUGUCCGGAUUUAUUGGGCGUAAAGAGCUCGUAGGCGGCUCGUCGCGUCAGCUGUGAAAACCCGCGGCUUAACCGUGAGCGUGCAGCUGAUACGGGCGGGCUAGAGUUCGGUAGGGGAGACUGGAAUUCCUGGUGUAGCGGUGAAAUGCGCAGAUAUCAGGAGGAACACCGGUGGCGAAGGCGGGUCUCUGGGCCGAUACUGACGCUGAGGAGCGAAAGCGUGGGGAGCGAACAGG